rnacentral:rRNA from 1 species
AGAGUUUGAUCAUGGCUCAGAUUGAACGCUGGCGGCAUGCCUUACACAUGCAAGUCGAACGGCAGCACGGGUGCUUGCACCUGGUGGCGAGUGGCGAACGGGUGAGUAAUACAUCGGAACAUGUCCUGUAGUGGGGGAUAGCCCGGCGAAAGCCGGAUUAAUACCGCAUACGAUCUACGGAUGAAAGCGGGGGACCUUCGGGCCUCGCGCUAUAGGGUUGGCCGAUGGCUGAUUAGCUAGUUGGUGGGGUAAAGGCCUACCAAGGCGACGAUCAGUAGCUGGUCUGAGAGGACGACCAGCCACACUGGGACUGAGACACGGCCCAGACUCCUACGGGAGGCAGCAGUGGGGAAUUUUGGACAAUGGGCGAAAGCCUGAUCCAGCAAUGCCGCGUGUGUGAAGAAGGCCUUCGGGUUGUAAAGCACUUUUGUCCGGAAAGAAAUCCUUGGCUCUAAUACAGUCGGGGGAUGACGGUACCGGAAGAAUAAGCACCGGCUAACUACGUGCCAGCAGCCGCGGUAAUACGUAGGGUGCGAGCGUUAAUCGGAAUUACUGGGCGUAAAGCGUGCGCAGGCGGUUUGCUAAGACCGAUGUGAAAUCCCCGGGCUCAACCUGGGAACUGCAUUGGUGACUGGCAGGCUAGAGUAUGGCAGAGGGGGGUAGAAUUCCACGUGUAGCAGUGAAAUGCGUAGAGAUGUGGAGGAAUACCGAUGGCGAAGGCAGCCCCCUGGGCCAAUACUGACGCUCAUGCACGAAAGCGUGGGGAGCAAACAGGAUUAGAUACCCUGGUAGUCCACGCCCUAAACGAUGUCAACUAGUUGUUGGGGAUUCAUUUCCUUAGUAACGUAGCUAACGCGUGAAGUUGACCGCCUGGGGAGUACGGUCGCAAGAUUAAAACUCAAAGGAAUUGACGGGGACCCGCACUGGCGGUGGAUGAUGUGGAUUAAUUCGAUGCAACGCGAAAAACCUUACCUACCCUUGACAUGGUCGGAAUCCCGCUGAGAGGUGGGAGUGCUCGAAAGAGAACCGGCGCACAGGUGCUGCAUGGCUGUCGUCAGCUCGUGUCGUGAGAUGUUGGGUUAAGUCCCGCAACGAGCGCAACCCUUGUCCUUAGUUGCUACGCAAGAGCACUCUAAGGAGACUGCCGGUGACAAACCGGAGGAAGGUGGGGAUGACGUCAAGUCCUCAUGGCCCUUAUGGGUAGGGCUUCACACGUCAUACAAUGGUCGGAACAGAGGGUUGCCAACCCGCGAGGGGGAGCUAAUCCCAGAAAACCGAUCGUAGUCCGGAUUGCACUCUGCAACUCGAGUGCAUGAAGCUGGAAUCGCUAGUAAUCGCGGAUCAGCAUGACGGGGUGAAUACGUUCCCGGGUCUUGUAGACACCGC